rnacentral:rRNA from 1 species
AGUGAACGCUGGCGGUAGGCCUAACACAUGCAAGUCGAACGGCAGCACAGUAAGAGCUUGCUCUUACGGGUGGCGAGUGGCGGACGGGUGAGGAAUACAUCGGAAUCUACUUUUUCGUGGGGGAUAACGUAGGGAAACUUACGCUAAUACCGCAUACGACCUACGGGUGAAAGCAGGGGAUCUUCGGACCUUGCGCGAUUGAAUGAGCCGAUGUCGGAUUAGCUAGUUGGCGGGGUAAAGGCCCACCAAGGCGACGAUCCGUAGCUGGUCUGAGAGGAUGAUCAGCCACGCUGGAACUGAGACACGGUCCAGACUCCUACGGGAGGCAGCAGUGGGGAAUAUUGGGCAAUGGGCGCAAGCCUGAUCCAGCCAUACCGCGUGGGUGAAGAAGGCCUUCGGGUUGUAAAGCCCUUUUGUUGGGAAAGAAAAGCAGCAGGUUAAUACCCCGCUGUUCUGACGGUACCCAAAGAAUAAGCACCGGCUAACUUCGUG